rnacentral:rRNA from 1 species
UACGUAGGGGGCGAGCGUUGUCCGGAGUUACUGGGCGUAAAGCGCACGCAGGCGGUCUGCUAAGUUUGGAGUGACAGUUGGUGGCUUAACUGCCAAAGUGCUUCGAAAACUGACAGACUUGAGGGCUUCAGAGGGACACGGAAUUCCGGGUGUAGCGGUGAAAUGCGCAGAUAUCAGGAGGAACACCGGUGGCGAAGGCGGGCCUCUGGGCCGAUACUGACGCUGAGGAGCGAAAGCGUGGGGAGCGAACAGG